rnacentral:rRNA from 1 species
UACGUAGGUGGCAAGCGUUAUCCGGAUUUACUGGGUGUAAAGGGCGUGUAGCCGGGUUGACAAGUCAGAUGUGAAAUCCUGCGGCUUAACCGCAGAACUGCAUUUGAAACUGUUGAUCUUGAGUACUGGAGAGGCAGACGGAAUUCCUAGUGUAGCGGUGAAAUGCGUAGAUAUUAGGAGGAACACCAGUGGCGAAGGCAGCUUACCAAGCUACUUCUGACGUUGAGGCACGAAAGCGUGGGGAGCAAACAGG